UUCCCGAAUUUAGAAGAGCUAUUUAUUUUAUUGUUAUAAAUAUUUAAAAUAUGUAAUGAUAUGUUAAUAUAUCUGGUUUUCUAAGAAAAUUUAAUUUUGUUAUAUUUUAAGGGAUUAGCUUUAAAUAGGAUUAGAAAUUUUGUUAUUCUUAGUCUAUUAGAAUUUUUUAUUUAAUUAUAAAAUUAAUAAUGAUUGAAUUAGUAUAAGGUUUUAAAAAGGAAUUCGGCAAAUAUUUCCUACCUGUUUAUUAAAAACAUGGCCUUUUGAUAAUAAUUUGAGGUCUAGCCUGCCCACUGAGGCCGCGGUAUAUUGACCGUGCAAAGGUAGCAUAAUAAUUAGUUUUUUAAUUAAAAGCUGGUAUGAAUGGUUGGAUAAGGGAAUUUCUGUCUCUUUAAAAUAGAAUUUUAUUUUUGAGUUAAAAAGCUUAAAUUUUUUUAAAAGACGAGAAGACCCUAUAGAGUUUUAUUUUGGUUGGGGUGACUGAAAAAUUAAAUAAACUUUUGAUUACAAGAAAAAAUUACCUUAGGGAUAACAGCGUAAUUUUUUUUAGAGUUCAAAUCGAAAAAAGAGUUUGCGACCUCGA
rnacentral:rRNA from 2 species